AAUAAUUUAUUUGAUGGUCACUUACUACAUGGAUAACUGUAGUAAUUCUAGAGCUAAUACAUGCGUAAAAUCUCGACUCUAUCGGGGAGAGAUGUAUUUAUUAGAUAAAAAACCAAUGCGGGUUCUGCCCGGUUUUGUGGUGAAUCAUAGUAACUUUUCGAAGCGCAUGGCUUCACGCCGGCGCUAGUUCAUUCAAAUUUCUGCCCUAUCAGCUUUCGACGGUAGUGUAGUGGAUUACCGUGGCAUUAACGGGUAACGGAGAAUUAGGGUUCGAUUCCGGAGAGGGAGCCUGAGAAACGGCUACCACA
rnacentral:rRNA from 1 species